UACAGAGGGGGCAAGCGUUGUUCGGAAUUACUGGGCGUAAAGGGCGCGUAGGCGGCCGCCUAAGUCAGACGUGAAAUCCCUCGGCUCAACCGGGGAACUGCGUCUGAUACUGGGUGGCUUGAAUCCGGGAGAGGGAUGCGGAAUUCCAGGUGUAGCGGUGAAAUGCGUAGAUAUCUGGGGGAACACCGGUGGCGAAGGCGGCAUCCUGGACCGGCAUUGACGCUGAGGCGCGAAAGCGCGGGGAGCGAACGGG
rnacentral:rRNA from 1 species